rnacentral:misc_RNA from 1 species
GAAAAUCUUUGAUCAUGGAUAGAAUGGGGGACAAGGACAUUGUCAAGCGAGCGUUUAAGGCAUUCCAAAGCAGUUUCAACCAAGGAAAACCCGAAGUAGAUACAAGAUAUAGUGGAUCAAAGAAGGUAUUGCCAAAAGGAUCAGAGAAAAAGAUUUCAGCUUCUCCGACUCCUAAAAAGGAGGUUGAAAGAUUAAGGAAGACAUCAGAUGCGGUUAUCACUCAAAAAUGCCAAUCAGGGACUAGAUCAAACUCUCUGUCAUCACGGGCACCUAAAGAUGCUGUUAUAGAGAGGAAAAAGGUGAAUACUGUCAGACCUGCUGGCAUGAGUAUCGAUAGAUCAAUUGAUAAAUUGAAGGAGGAUAUCAUCAAAGGUAAGAUUCACCGUGCUGGAUCAAAUAGGUGAAGUUAAAACAUUAGCAGGAUACCUUGGUAGAUAAAAUGUUGAGUUAAACUUGCAUGUAGAAGAAGAAACAUCUGAAGAAUUUACUGUGUGCUUAGGCAAGAGCAAGACGAAUCAUGUUUUCGUAUUUCUGGUGUAGUUUGCACUCUGCUGGACUCCUGAAUCGGAUGUCUUGUUCUUACAUUGAAUAAGGUAUAGCAUUAGAAUUUAGAUCAUAGUUUAAAGUACAAAAGAAGUGUGUGUGAGAAGUACAGUAUUGAGU